rnacentral:rRNA from 1 species
UGGGGAAUCUUCCGCAAUGGACGAAAGUCUGACGGAGCAACGCCGCGUGAGUGAAGACGGCCUUCGGGUUGUAAAGCUCUGUGAUCCGGGACGAAAGAGCCUGAGGUGAAUAGCCUAAGGAAGUGACGGUACCGGAAAAGCAAGUCACGGCUAACUACGUGCCAGCAGCCGCGGUAAUACGUAGGUGGCAAGCGUUGUCCGGAAUUAUUGGGCGUAAAGCGCGCGCAGGCGGCUUCCUAAGUCCAUCUUAAAAGUGCGGGGCUUAACCCCGUGAUGGGAUGGAAACUGGGAAGCUGGAGUAUCGGAGAGGAAAGUGGAAUUCCUAGUGUAGCGGUGAAAUGCGUAGAGAUUAGGAAGAACACCGGUGGCGAAGGCGACUUUCUGGACGAAAACUGACGCUGAGGCGCGAAAGCGUGGGGAGCAAACAGG